UGAUGUGACUCACAAAGUGCUAACCCUUGAUAUAGCGAUUAACGUUGACCUGCGAAGCAGCCAACGGUAAACCGCCAAAAUCAAGCAGGGUGCUUAGUGAUGGGGUGACUGCGUACCUUUUGUAUAAUGGGUCAGCGACUUAUAUUUAGUAGCAAGGUUAAGUGAAUAACGGAGCCGUAGCGAAAGCGAGUGUUAACUGCGCGUUUAGUUGCUAGGUAUAGACCCGAAACCCGGUGAUCUAGCCAUGGGCAGGUUGAAGGUUGAGUAACAUCAACUGGAGGACCGAACCCACUAACGUUGAAAAGUUAGGGGAUGACCUGUGGCUGGGGGUGAAAGGCCAAUCAAACCGGGAGAUAGCUGGUUCUCCCCGAAAUCUAUUUAGGUAGAGCCUCGGACGAAUUCCAUUGGGGGUAGAGCACUGUUAAGGCUAGGGGGUCAUCCCGACUUACCAACCCUUUGCAAACUCCGAAUACCAAUGAGAACUAUCCGGGAGACACACGGCGGGUGCUAACGUCCGUCGUGGAGAGGGAAACAACCCAGACCGCCAGCUAAGGUCCCAAAAUAUUGCUAAGUGGGAAACGAUGUGGGAAGGCAUAGACAGCUAGGAGGUUGGCUUAGAAGCAGCCAUCCUUUAAAGAAAGCGUAAUAGCUCACUAGUCGAGUCGGCCUGCGCGGAAGAUGUAACGGGGCUAAGCAAUAUACCGAAGCUGCGGCAGCACAGUUUACUGUGCUGGGUAGGGGAGCGUUGUGUAAGUGGAUGAAGGUGAGUUGUAAAGCUUGCUGGACAUAUCACAAGUGCGAAUGCUGACAUGAGUAACGAUAAUGGGAGUGAAAAACUCCCACGCCGGAAGACCAAGGUUUCCUGUCCCAUGCUAAUCAGGGCAGGGUAAGUCGGCCCCUAAGGCGAGGCAGAAAUGCGUAGUCGAUGGGAAACGGAUUAAUAUUUCCGUACUUAUAUAAUCAGUGAUGGAGGGACGGAGAAGGCUAGGCAAGCUUGGCGUUGGUUGUCCAAGUGAAAGUGCGUAGACCGAGAACUUAGGUAAAUCCGGGUUCUUAAAGUCGAGACACGAGACGAGCUCCCAAGGGAGUGAAGUUGUUGAUGCCCUGCUUCCAGGAAAAGCUUCUAAACUUAUGAUUAUAUGAACCGUACCCCAAACCGACACAGGUGGUCAGGUAGAGAAUACUAAGGCGCUUGAGAGAACUCGGGUGAAGGAACUCGGCAAAAUUGUACCGUAACUUCGGGAGAAGGUACGCCUCUGUGUGUGAAGACUUCGCGUCGUAAGCACAUGGAGGCCGCAGUGACCAGGUGGCUGGGACUGUUUAUUAAAAACACAGCACUCUGCAAACUCGUAAGAGGACGUAUAGGGUGUGACACCUGCCCGGUGCCGGAAGGUUAAUUGAUGGGGUUAGUUUUCGGACGAAGCUCUUGAUCGAAGCCCCGGUAAACGGCGGCCGUAACUAUAACGGUCCUAAGGUAGCGAAAUUCCUUGUCGGGUAAGUUCCGACCUGCACGAAUGGUGUAACCAUGGCCACGCUGUCUCCACCCGAGACUCAGUGAAAUUGAAAUCGCAGUGAAGAUGCUGUGUACCCGCACCUAGACGGAAAGACCCCGUGAACCUUUACUACAGCUUGGCACUGAACAUUGAACCUACAUGUGUAGGAUAGGUGGGAGGCUUUGAAGCACAGUCGCUAGAUUGUGUGGAGCCGUCCUUGAAAUACCACCCUUGUAUGUUUGAUGUUCUAACAUAGUUCCCUUAUCGGGAAUGUGGACAGUGUCUGGUGGGUAGUUUGACUGGGGCGGUCUCCUCCCAAAUAGUAACGGAGGAGCACGAAGGUUAGCUAAUCACGGUCGGACAUCGUGAGGUUAGUGCAAUGGCAUAAGCUAGCUUAACUGCGAGACAGACACGUCGAGCAGGUACGAAAGUAGGUCAUAGUGAUCCGGUGGUUCUGUAUGGAAGGGCCAUCGCUCAACGGAUAA
rnacentral:rRNA from 1 species